rnacentral:rRNA from 1 species
GAUGAACGCUGGCGGCGUGCCUAAUACAUGCAAGUCGAGCGAACGGACGAGAAGCUUGCUUUUCUGAUGUUAGCGGCGGACGGGUGAGUAACAGGUGGAUAACCUACCUAUAAGACUGGGAUAACUUCGGGAAACCGGAGCUAAUACCGGAUAAUAUUUUGAACCGCAUGGUUCAAAAGUGAAAGACGGUCUUGCUGUCACUUAUAGAUGGAUCCGCGCUGCAUUAGCUAGUUGGUAAGGUAACGGCUUACCAAGGCAACGAUGCAUAGCCGACCUGAGAGGGUGAUCGGCCACACUGGAACUGAGACACGGUCCAGACUCCUACGGGAGGCAGCAGUAGGGAAUCUUCCGCAAUGGGCGAAAGCCUGACGGAGCAACGCCGCGUGAGUGAUGAAGGUCUUCGGAUCGUAAAACUCUGUUAUUAGGGAAGAACACAUGUGUAAGUAACUGUGCACAUCUUGACGGUACCUAAUCAGAAAGCCACGGCUAACUACGUG